rnacentral:rRNA from 1 species
AUUGAACGCUAGCGGCAUGCUUAACACAUGCAAGUCGAACGAGUGGCGGACGGGUGAGUAAUAUAUAGGAACCUGCCCAGUAGCGGGGGAUAACUACUCGAAAGCGUCGCUAAUACCGCAUACUAUAGGAGCAGCCCAUAUCGGAUUAGCUAGUUGGGGGGGUAAAGGCUAACCAAGGCAACGAUCCGUAGCUGGUUUGAGAGGACGACCAGCCACACUGGAACUGGGCCACGGCCCAGACUCCUACGGGAGGCAGCAGUGGGGAAUUUUGGACAAUGGGGGAAAUCCUGAUGCAGCCAUCCCGCGUGUAUGAGAAGGCCUUCGGGUUGUAAAGUACUUUAAGCAGAGAAGCGGUACCUGCAGAAUAAGCACCGGCUAACUACGUGCCAGCAGCCGCGGUAAUUC